AGUGUUACCUCGGGGGGCCAAUCUGGCUGAGAUACGCGAAAGCGUGACCCGUAGAACCUGAACCGGUUAGGACCGGCGGAGGGAAGGUCUGGACCAUUUUA
rnacentral:ncRNA from 2 species